rnacentral:rRNA from 1 species
CAGUAGCCGCGGUAAUACGAAGGGUGCAAGCGUUAAUCGGAAUUACUGGGCGUAAAGCGUGCGUAGGCGGUUUGUUAAGUCAGAUGUGAAAUUCCUGGGCUUAACCUGGGGGCCGCAUUUGAGACGUUAAGACUAGAGUGUGAGAGAGGGUUGUGGAAUUCCCAGUGUAGAGGUGAAAUUCGUAGAUACCGGGAGGAACGCCGAUGGCGAAGGCAGCCACCUGGUCCACUUCUGACGCUGAGGCGCGAAAGCGUGGGGAGCAAACCGGAUUAGAUACCCGCGUAGUCCCUGUCUCUUAUAU